rnacentral:ncRNA from 2 species
ACCUGCUCACACGGGGUGCCCAUUGGGGCUGAGAGGCGGCCGCGCCGCCAACCCGCUGAACCUGAUCCGGGUCAUGCCGGCGGAGGGAUGGAGAGUUUCCGCUCG